ACUCUAUUCUUAUUAGCCAAAUACACUGACGUCAUCCGAGGUCAUCAAGAUGGCAGCGUUUGACAACUAGCCUGUUUUCUCAUAAGAGUCAAUGCUAAUAUUUUCGGAAUUCAUUUAAAUUUGAGAGCGUGUCAACUGUGUUUUUAUAGUUUGGUUGUGCGAAUCGAAGCACCAGAAAUGCGGACAAAUUUUAUUUUCCUUUCGCAGCAAUUAGCAACAAUAAAGGUAAAUAUAUACAGGAUGGGGAAAAAGGCGGAAGCUUUGGUUAAAAGCCUUGAAACGAGUGGAUUUAACGAAGCCAAAGUAAAGUAUUCCUAUGUUUGUUCAGAUCAUUUUAUUUUGGUACAGUAACUACCUAUUAGAUUUACAGUUUUUAAUAAAUUACUACAUUGGUGCUCUUUUAGGUAAACCUGCAGAUUUGUCGGAUGUGGACCAUCCUGAUUAUGUUCCAUCACAAAAUUUAGGAUAUCAAAAUAAAUCCACUCGUAAUACUUGUAAUGUUGAAAGACAAAAAUAGAGAAAACUGAAUAAAUGCUUCUAGACUUUUGAA